rnacentral:rRNA from 1 species
AUUGAACGCUGGCGGCAGGCUUAACACAUGCAAGUCGAGCGGGGGAGGUUGCUUCGGUAACUGACCUAGCGGCGGACGGGUGAGUAAUGCUUAGGAAUCUGCCUAUUAGUGGGGGACAACAUCUCGAAAGGGAUGCUAAUACCGCAUACGCCCUACGGGAGAAAGCAGGGGACCUUCGGGCCUUGCGCUAAUAGAUGAGCCUAAGUCGGAUUAGCUAGUUGGUGGGGUAAAGGCCUACCAAGGCGACGAUCUGUAGCGGGUCUGAGAGGAUGAUCCGCCACACUGGGACUGAGACACGGCCCAGACUCUUACGGGAGGCAGCAGUGGGGAAUAUUGGACAAUGGGGGGAACCCUGAUCCAGCCAUGCCGCGUGUGUGAAGAAGGCCUUUUGGUUGUAAAGCACUUUAAGCGAGGAGGAGGCUACUGGUAUUAAUACUACCGGAUAGUGGACGUUACUCGCAGAAUAAGCACCGGCUAACUCUGUGCCAGCCGCCGCCGCGGUAA